rnacentral:rRNA from 1 species
AUUGAACGCUGGCGGCAGGCCUAACACAUGCAAGUCGAGCGGAGCGGCGGACGGGUGGGUAAUGCCUAGGAAUCUGCCUGGUAGUGGGGGAUAACGUCCGGGAACGGGCGCUAAUACCGCAUACUAUCAGAUGAGCCUAGGUCGUAUUAGCUAGUUGGUGGGGUAAAGGCCUACCAAGGCGACGAUCCGUAACUGGUCUGAGAGGAUGAUCAGUCACACUGGAACUGAGACACGGGCCAGACUCCUACGGGAGGCAGCAGUAGGGAAUAUUGGACAAUGGGCGAAAGUCUGAUCCAGCCAUGCCGCGUGAGUGAAGAAGGUCUUCGGAUUGUAAAGCACUUUAAGUUGGGAAGCGUUACCAACAGAGUAAGCACCGGCUAACUACGUGCCAGCAGCCGCGGUAAUUC